CUCUCUCUCCUCUCAAAACCCUAAAUCGAACUCUCUCUCUUUUCUUCUCUGGCGAACACGGCGAUUCAUCUUCUGACCAACCCUAAUCGGCGAUGUCUGGUGUGAGUAUGUCUGGUGCGAGUAUUGGUUUUCAGCGUAUAAGGGAAGUUUCGUUGUCUCUCUCUCUCAAUACAGAACCUUACACAGUACUCCUCAUUCUAACCCUAAUAUUCCCCCCUUCUCUCUCUCUCUCUUUCUGUGGCGAACACGGCGACGAAGAUGAACGUGCCCUCAGUUCUUAUUUUUGAUAAAGAUUCAUUCUUUUUGGAAUUGUUGUUCGAUGGAUCCUAUGUUUGUUUGAUUAAAUCGAUAAUCCCUAAAUCUCUGUCGGAAAUUUUAAUCUGAGGUAUAUCGGUUUAAUAAUCUUGAUUAUCUUGAUCCACAUUUGAACCGAAUGAAACGUGAAUAUUGUUUGUAAUUCUAGUUUAAUUUGGGGUUUAGAAAAUGCAAUCUGAUCUGGGCAAGUUGUUUAUUUGUGGGAUAUCAUGGGACACAAAUGAAGAGCGUCUAGAAGAGUAUUUCAGUAGCUAUGGCCAGGUUUUGGAGGUUGUGAUCAAGAAGGAUCACACCACUGGCUGGGCUCGCGUUAAAUGCAGUUUAAAAAAGAAAAUGGGCAUUACAAGUUAUUAGAUCAGGUUUAACUUUUGCUCUGGUUCCGAAUACGCAGAUUUUAAGAUGUGAGAGGAUCUAAAAGGUUAUUGAAAGCUUUAAUCGGAAAUUUGUGUUUGGUUGUGGUUGGUUUAAAUGGACGGUUGUUACACGGAGGCUGUGAUGAGUUGUCAAAAUAAAGCCAAUAUGUCGCCAUGGCGUGGCAGAUAUGGAGGAUGGCAGGUUAGCACCUACAACCCCUAUUGCAGCCUUGGUGGCUUCUGGCUUGGUCCUUUCAUUUUCUCUUAACCUGAUGAAUCUGUUGACUGUUGCCUUUGCUAUUUGAGUUGGCGAUGAUGAUCUUGGUCAGAUCAUUGCUUGACGUGGCAUCAUAGAGGAUGGCAGGUGCAUUUUUCUCUGCUUGCAACCUAUGGUGCAGCCAUGAUAGCUUGAGACCUUUGUCUGAGCCUUACCGUGCUGGUUUCGAGAUGAUUAAACAAUAUUGUAGAUUUGUAGUCGAUUUAUUAGCUAAAACAUCACGCUUUUCGGUUCAUGUUUAGCAUGUUUUUCAUGUCGUUGAUUAGUAUCGGAACAAACUAUCCUAGGAAAAUGUUGCCGAUCGUAUCCAACAAACCCAAAUAUACUAAAUCUACAUUUUGUUAUCAUUGUUAUUAUCAUUAUAAUUAUUGAUAUCACUGAAUAAAGUAUGUUAUGUGUUUUAGUCACUUGGACCCAGAGGUUGCAGUUUCAACCGCAAAUGGUUCUAACGAAUGAAGCUUUUUUGUUUUUGUGUGAAAGAAUGACUUUUUAAUUCUUACAGUCCUACUAACACCAGCAACUUUCAUGCAAUGCUACUGUUGGUAUGGAUAUUAAUAUCACAGGUCGUAUACUUUACAUACACUUUUAUUUUUUUAACUAAUCUAUAUGAAAUUAUGUUGAUUUGAGUUGAUUAUGUAUUGAUAAUGGCUCAAAUGUGUAUUUUGAGAUUUGGGGCAGAGGAAUUGUUUAAGCAAGAUAAGAUAGAUGAAGAAAACAAAAGGUGUCUUCUAAGCAGCAUGGAUAUUGAUGAAUUUUUUGAAAGACCAGAGAAGGUUGAACAGAAUGGGGGGAUAUGUGAAGAAGGAAAUGAAUUGUUGAGUGCACUUAAGAUCUUUAUUUCAACUGCUGAGGUAAAAGAAGAUACGUCUGAAGACGUGUCAGCAGACAAAGUGGCCACUUUAGUGAUUUACAAAAAGUCACCAUUAGAAUCUUCGGCUACUGAUGAAUCAGCUUAUCAAACAGAAGUCAACGAGUCAUUAUAUUGAAUCCUACCGAGGUAGUGAUAAAUGGUGAAUCUGGAUCUCCGUCAAAGUAAAAAACCACGGUAGACAAAAAAAGUCAAAAGAAAACGGAAGUACUGGUGCUACUUGUAGCAGUUCACAUAACUCUAGGCUCAAAGCCCAUGACUACGGUCCUCGCAAGAAUGGGAAGGCUGGAAUAAUUGCUUAAUAAAUUUAGUGAUACACAUGGGGAAAAGCAUGGGAUGAACCAGGCCAUUCUAAUGGUGGAGAUAUACUUCAUUUAAUGAUCGAUGUUUUAAAGGAGAAUGUAAUCGGUAUUGAUGGUCUGUGUGUUUUAAUUAGCAAGGAAUGAGUUGGAAGAUGGGAGUAGGGCUGAGCGUCUUCAAGCAAAUAUGUAAUUAAACCUUCAGAGGUUGAUGAUAAAAUGGAAAGAGACACAAAACUACUUAAGCAGAAAGAAGAUAGCCUCGAGAUGUCAUUGGUAAUGCCGGUAUGAUGCUAUGUUGAUAAGUGUUGAUAAGUGGCCUCGAGAGUUCCUGGUUCAGUAGUAGUUUGAUGUGUUCUAUAUUUCUAUUAGUGUUUGAUUAUAUACGCCAGGUUACGGUUUAAACAAGUAGUUUGAUGUGUUUGGCAUAACAGGCUGGGUCAGGAUGGGCUGACUGGAGGAGACUUUUUUUUGUCCUUUUUAUAUUAUAAAAAAAUGUAUACAUUAAACAUCAUUAACAUUUGUUCUUUAAAUAAGAAUUUGAGUACACUUCCUUUGA
rnacentral:lncRNA from 1 species